GGUUAAGCGACUAAGCGUACACGGUGGAUGCCCUGGCAGUCAGAGGCGAUGAAGGACGUGCUAAUCUGCGAUAAGCGUCGGUAAGGUGAUAUGAACCGUUAUAACCGGCGAUUUCCGAAUGGGGAAACCCAGUGUGUUUCGACACACUAUCAUUAACUGAAUCCAUAGGUUAAUGAGGCGAACCGGGGGAACUGAAACAUCUAAGUACCCCGAGGAAAAGAAAUCAACCGAGAUUCCCCCAGUAGCGGCGAGCGAACGGGGAGCAGCCCAGAGCCUGAAUCAGUGUGUGUGUUAGUGGAAGCGUCUGGAAAGGCGUGCGAUACAGGGUGACAGCCCCGUACACAAAAAUGCACAUACUGUGAGCUCGAUGAGUAGGGCGGGACACGUGGUAUCCUGUCUGAAUAUGGGGGGACCAUCCUCCAAGGCUAAAUACUCCUGACUGACCGAUAGUGAACCAGUACCGUGAGGGAAAGGCGAAAAGAACCCCGGCGAGGGGAGUGAAAAAGAACCUGAAACCGUGUACGUACAAGCAGUGGGAGCACGCUUAGGCGUGUGACUGCGUACCUUUUGUAUAAUGGGUCAGCGACUUAUAUUCUGUAGCAAGGUUAACCGAAUAGGGGAGCCGAAGGGAAACCGAGUCUUAACUGGGCGUUAAGUUGCAGGGUAUAGACCCGAAACCCGGUGAUCUAGCCAUGGGCAGGUUGAAGGUUGGGUAACACUAACUGGAGGACCGAACCGACUAAUGUUGAAAAAUUAGCGGAUGACUUGUGGCUGGGGGUGAAAGGCCAAUCAAACCGGGAGAUAGCUGGUUCUCCCCGAAAGCUAUUUAGGUAGCGCCUCGUGAAUUCAUCUCCGGGGGUAGAGCACUGUUUCGGCAAGGGGGUCAUCCCGA
rnacentral:rRNA from 1 species